rnacentral:misc_RNA from 1 species
CGCCGUCUUCGUUUCUCUUUCUUCUCGGGAUGUUUAUUGAAACUGUGAGAGAGCUUGGUGUUUUGUAGCGUAACCUGGCGUUCUAGCCGCUUUGUUGGGGCCUGUAGCUCAGGUGGUUAGAGCGCACGCCUGAUAAGCGUGAGGUCGGUAGUUCAAGUCUACCCAGGCCCACCAUCCUGACAUCAGAUAAAGGUCUGAAUUGGUUAAGCGGGGCCAUAGCUCAGCUGGGAGAGCGCCUGGUUUGCAACCAGGAGGUCGUCGGUUCGAUCCCGUCUGGCUCCACCAUCNGUUUCAAUUCGUAGUUUGACAUCCUUGAGAUUUGAAAAAAGUUUUGCUUAUCUCUUUGUUGAGAUAAGCUGUUCCUUGACAUCGUGAAGAGAAGUUUUGUCCGAAUACCAUUAGUUUAUUAUGGUAUGAAAAUAUAGAUCUCCUAAAAUAAAUAUUCUAUAUCGGGCAAAUCUCAUGUUCUUUUAAGUAAAGAUUAAAUUUAAGGUCUUUCUAUAUCGAAGAUUUUCUAUUUUAAUAGUGAAUAUCGAUAAUGAGAGUAAUCAAGUGCCUUAAGAGCAUUUGGUGGAUGCCUAGGUGGUAAGAGGCGAUGAAGGACGUGGUACGCUGCGAUAAGCCCGGGAGAGUGGCGACAAACUUUGAUCCGCGGAUUUCCGAAUGGGGAAACCCGG